UACGUAGGGACCGAGCGUUGUCCGGAUUCAUUGGGCGUAAAGAGCUCGUAGGCGGCUGCUCAAGUCGAAUGUGAAAACUCGAGGCUCAACCUCGAGCCUGCAUUCGAUACUGGGCGGCUAGAGUCUGGUAGGGGGAUCUGGAAUUCCUGGUGUAGCGGUGGAAUGCGCAGAUAUCAGGAGGAACACCGGUGGCGAAGGCGGGAUCCUGGGCCAGUACUGACGCUGAGGGGCGAAAGCGUGGGGAGCAAACAGG
rnacentral:rRNA from 1 species